rnacentral:lncRNA from 10 species
UUACUAGCUGCAAGCCUCUGCCUGCCUUCCUGCGCGCCGUUCCCCGCUAGUCGCUGCUGCUGGCGCGCACUCGCCGGGUUUUUCCUCCCACGGCCUCGAGAUGGUGGUGAAUGUGGCACGGAGGAGCCGGGCCUUCCAACCCGGUGGGCCCGAGCUCCGAAAGGCCCCCUCGGCAGUGAGAGGGGCGGGAGCCCGCGGGGGCCGCGCCCUUCUCUCGCUUCGGACUGCGCAACGCUGCGCUCUGGGCUGACAGGCGGAUAAAACGGUCCCAUCAAGACUGAGAAAAAGCACACCAGCUAUUGGCACAGCGUGGGCAGUGGGGCCUACAGGAUGACUGACUUAGUCUACAGAGAUCCCGGCGUACUUAAGCAGAUGAAGACUCUUAAGAUGACAGAAGGUGAUUUUUCUGGUGAUCGAGGACUUCCGGGGUAAUGACAGUGAUGAAAUGCAGGGGACCUGGUAGGUUUCUUUUGGAGACUAACUGGGGGCUGCCUGGUGGGACAGAACAGCAUGUUUCCAAGGGCUGUGGCUGGUCAUAGCCAUGGGAUCUCCAACUGCAUGCAAGAGCAACCUGGAAAGACUUUGACAGCGCAGGUCAGUACAAUACCUGCAAGCUGCCACUCAGCUUUCCUAUAAUGUUUCAGGACCAGGGCUGGAAGCCUUCCAUGUGUCAACUUCAAUGUAGAUGGGUUUUUUUUUUUUUUUUUUUUUGAGACGGAGUCUUGCUCUGUCACCCAGGCUGCUGGAGUGCAGUGGCAUGAUCUCGGCUCAUGGCAACCUCUGCCUCCUGGGUUCAAGCGACUCUCCUACCUCAUCCUCCCGAGUAGCUGGGAUUACAGGUGCCCACCAUCACACCCAGCUAAUUUUCUUGUAUUUUUAGUAGAGAUGGUUUUCACCAUGUUGGCUAGAUGGGUCUCGAACUUCUGACCUCGGGUGAUCCGCCCGACUCGGCCUCCCCUUCCAAAGUGCUGGGAUUACAGGCAUGAGCCACCGCUCCUGGCCAGUUUAGUUUUCACGCUAAGCUUUUUGUUCUGCAGGUUGCCCCCAAGUUUCCUGGCAGUGUGUGAUACUGAGGAGGUGAGCUUGUUUCUGGAGCUGUGCUUUAAGGUAAAGUUGAUCAGCUUAAUCCUCCUGAUCCCUUUCCCAUCGGAUCUGAACACUGGUCUUGGUGGUCGUAAAAGGAGGAAAAGUAAUAGUGAAGCUGGCCUAAAUGUUGUAAUCUGGUAUAUGGCAUGUGGGCUAGUUUCAGACAGGUUUCAGAGAUGGUUGGAUCUCUGAAAUUGUAAAAUGAAGUAUAAUCUUAGGCUAAGGGAAGGAUGCGUGUGAAGCUCUGGAGGUUGGUAUAGUAAUAGCUGACCUAUUACUGCAUUUGGGAGGGAUCUGUCAUAGCUUCCUUGCCUCUUAAUUAAGGGUGGUGUUUUUUUCUUUUAGAUUCAUGUUACAUGUAAAGCUGUCCUCAUUUGUGACUAUGGACCUAUGGAGUUGGGACAAUCUCUAUGGGAAGCAGAAGGCAAGGACCCCGGUCAUUUUAGGUAGAAACAACAGCAUGCUAAUGCAAAAAAUUAUGCAGUGUGCUACUGAACUUCAGAGGUGAUCAAUAAAAGAAGAAUAAAAAGACUAAUAAAAGUA